CUGUGUUACUCCUUAUGCUUGAUUAUAUAUGAAGUUGUGUAGGUGAUGACAAAUGUUGAACUCUCUUAACUGUUUUGAAGAACACAGGGAGACAUACAUGAACAUAUCAAGAAGAAUGAAGAGCUUCUCACUUUAUUCUCGACUAAUCAUUAUGUAUUUUAUUGAUGUCUUUUGAUCGACAAACAAAUGUUAUAAAUCGGUGAAACUCACGCCCAUUGAAGUAAGGGUAAUCUCGGCAUAAAUCGGUGAAAAUAUGGCAACUGUACAUUAGUACUGCACAUAAUGCCUAAAUCCGAAGAUCCCUUCCCAAAUAUGCCCAUUUUGACAAAUCUCCCCUUUAUCUUAUA